UUCUAAGCAUAGUCUAUGGAAUAGGUACCA
rnacentral:piRNA from 1 species